AAACCCUCACACCUGUGAUGUCAAAAUCGUGGGUCGUGGAUUUGGAUCGUGCCGUAAUUGGCUCGUCCUUGAAAUGCAUUAGCUUGUGCUCGUUAGAGUGCUCGGCAUGGUGUGAUAAUUAUCUGCGCCGUUAUGCCUUAGGCCUCUUCUGUGUGCGCUGCUUCCAAUCGUCCCUCGUGGACAACAUUAAAUUUAAAG
rnacentral:misc_RNA from 1 species